rfam:Cephalotus follicularis DNA, scaffold: scaffold3869, isolate: St1.
GGGUGCGAUCAUACCAGCACUAAUGCAUCGGAUCCCAUCGGAACUCCGAAUUCAAGUGUUCUUCGACGAGAAUGGUACUAAGACGAGCUUUGUCGCAGGACUUCCACAGACACAGGCA